UCUGACAACAAGAGGGGACGAGCCCAUGGCUGCCGAAGGUUCCAGGUCAGCCCCCAGAGCCCGGUGAAGCCACUCUACCUUCCGCUCGCUCUUCGCGUUAAAUUCAGAGACAGUAACAUCAACAGGCCCUUUAAAAACCAUUUUUGUGGAAGAAAAAUCAUUAUUUCCAAACUUCAAGGACAGAGAUCCUCUAGGAUUCUACCCAGUAUUGAGCUUGCAUUCCUGUUGGACUGCACGUGGAGCACUGCAGGGAGAAGAUUUUUUUUUUUUAAGAUUUUAUUUAUUCAUGAGAAUACACACACACAGAGAGAGAGAGAGAGAGAGGGGCAGAGACACAGGCAGAGGGAGAAGCAGACUCCACACAGGGAACCUGAUGUGGGACUCGAUCCGGGGACUCCAGGAUCACACCCUGGGCCAAAGGCAGGUGCUAAACCGCUGAGCCACCCAGGCUGCCCUGUAAAUUUAUUUAGAGACCGAUUUAGUUGCAAAGACUUCAAUUCCAACCAGAAAGCAAGUGAGAAAUUACUCUUUGUUGAGUAUUCCCCAAUUUUGUAUUGUCUAUUUCAGCAUACUGCGAUACUGUAGGCCACAAGAAGUUUGACUUUCUUGAAAUAUUUUAACAGAUGAUAUGGAUUGCAUGUGUACCACUUAGAAUAAUUAUUAACCCUGACCACUGGGGGUAUUUCCAAAUGUUCAGGUACUUAUGCCACAAAUGAUCAGUUGGGAGAACUUGGGCCAAUUUUGCAACUUCUCUGUGGCUUAAUGCUCAUGUUUAUAAUUGGAAAUGAUGUGUAUAUCAUAAGUUACUGCAAGGUUUGUGUGGCAUUUGCUGUGAUAUACUUAGAAUAAUGCAUAAUGCUUAGUAUUCCAUGAAAAUUAAUUAUCAUUCUGAAAUAUUUAGGCCUUAGACUGAAAAGAUAAUCAAAAACAUUUUUACUAAAUACAAGGAGUUAGUAGUUUUUUUCUUUUGGUUUUAUUGUGUUUCUUUGCAAUCAAUAGCUCAUCAAUCUGAUAAAACACCUUGAAAAUUAGCUGAGCUGUUUGAUCAAUUUUCAGGGAUAUUGGAAGGGAUCAAGAAAUUGAACUAAGUGUUCAAAGUACUUUACAACACUAAGUUUAUUAGUCAGGAGUUCUUUAUUUUGCAAGUGACAGGAUCCUAUAGAGAAAUAUCUUAGGGAAAAGAAACACUCUGAGAAAGAUAAUGUCUGACUGAAAGAAGUGGUGAACAACCUUAGAGCAGAGCAUUCAAAGACAUAGGUGGGUUUCAGACAAAACACACUCAAAUACUGUCAUAAUCCCAUCACUCAUCAUCUUAUCUGCAUUCUUCUCAAAACAUAAAAUUUGUUCCUAUCUGGAAAUUGUUUCGGACCCAUCCACGAAGUAAUUUCACGUUGCACAUGCUAUAAUAUCUACAGGAAGAUCAAGGUUGAUUUCUUGAUCUGACAGUUCUGUAGUUUCUAGAACAAAUGGUCUGUAUUUCCCUUAUCACCUCCUUUGUCUUCUACUUACUCUUCUCUGGUAACCCCUUUCUCCACUUGGCAGGACUCGAUCUCAGCUAAAAUCACCUGACUGCCAAAUCCAAUGAUCCAUAUCCAGUUUGAAUCUAAUUUGACACAGUUUACUUCUUUAGUAACUGUAGCUUCAUUAAGUGUCUUUUCUCUUUUUGUGUACUCAGAAUUGCCUUUCAAACUGUCCUCAAGUCCUCCUUAGUGUUUGUUUUCUCUAGUAAUCAUGCAGGAACUUCUUGAUCUCUCACACUACACUCUAUGGGCAGUUUUGUUAACACACUUCUCAAUGAAUGGUGCCAUUUGCCUUAAAAGGAAACCUCUGAUAUGGCUAUAUUUUGCCUUUCAGAUUUAUUCAGGACCAUAGUAUUUUGAUUAACUUCUGAAUACCUGUUUGAGCUGUUAAUACCCACUGUCUUCCUUUCAUCUGAUUAAUGUUUAUAUGUGUUGUGCUCCUAUAAUGCAAUAGGCAUAUGGGCAUAGAUGCUGCGAGAGAAACAUGCAUUUCUGACAAAGGAGAGGAGUCAUGCCUUAAACGUAUAAUCACAAAAUAUUUCUUUACUGAGCAUAAUAGUGCUAUGAGGGUGUAAGACAUACAGUCUUACACUGGAACAGCAUAAAAAGGUGCCUCAGUGGAUGCCAAGGGAGAAUAUAUGAUCCCUUAAUACAGGAUUGUGGUGCAUGAAUUGGCCUUACUACUUAUAUUUUCAGGUCCUCCUAUCUGUUCAGUGUAUCUUACAUUUGAGACUGUCAUUGCAAGCAAACUUUGAUUAUUGGACACACCUUCAAAAUUCCUUGGAAUUUUAAUUUCUAGAAUUUUUAUAAAAAAGUUCAUGCUAGGAGCAAUCUCUUCUUGCCCACCCUUAACUCUCAUCUCUUUUCUAAUAGUGUCAAUUUUUUUGUAUCUCUUUGAAAAUGCUAUGUUAGGUAAGGCCUUUGUAAUUUCCACAUGUCCUGCCACAUGAUUUCCACUUGAAAAUGCACAGUCAUUUCUCUGAUACUAAUUAAAAAGAAGCCUCAGUUUUGCAUGUUUUCAUAAUAAUCAUGGAUGUCUUAAGGCUGUUAUUUUCCCCUUUGAUUUCCAGUUUUACAAAUGAUUCUGUUAUUUGAAAUUAUUUGUAUAAAAAGUUAAAGGAUGAUUUAUCUGGUGUUUAUUAUAAGCCACUUAAGGAAUUUGCUGUAAUUCUUUAAAAAAUCUUUAUAUCUUAGUACAACAUACAGUAUCUUGAUAAUUCAAAUAUAUUCUUAAUUUAAAUUCUCAUCAAAUAUACUUUACUUAAAUAUUUAAAUAUUUAAUUAUCUUAGGUAAAUAUAUUUAAAUCUCCAAAAGUUAAAGAAGCUAUUAAUUAAUGUUAAUAUACCAAGAAUAUUAUUUUCUAGAGUUGAAUUACCAAAGUAAUUUUAAUUUUCACUGAGCUUACAUUUUUGAGAGACUAAUUUCUGUUGAGUUAAACCAUUCCAUUCAAAAUCUAACCUGAUAAAAAAUACAUGUGUGAGUUAGGCAUAACAUGCAAGCCAAUUUAAACUAAGUAAUUUGUUUAUAUAUUAAUGUGAUUUGUGGAGAUCCUUUUUCUUCUCCAGUGGAAAAAUAUACCCCCUCCUGUCUAAGAGAUGAUAGUACAUCCCAUUUCUCUAAUGAGGUGUCUUAUAUUUUGCAAUUUCUAGCCAAAUAACAAGGUGAUAUAAUUGUGUCAUAGUAAAAAUAAUGAAGCUCGAUUAAAUAUCUCUCCUAGUUGGAUUCUUUUAUUCUUUUUCUUUGCUUUCAAUUCCCAACAGCUAACCUUAUUUUAAGGAGUUUUGCUCUUUAAUGAUAUCUGUUCAUGAAACUUAACUGUUGGGGCUUAGACUUCCACUAUAAGUUUCUGAGCUGUAUUGCAGCUUAGGGAAUAGUGAGAUAUAGAAAAUAAUGAGACAAAUUAAUUUUCUUUUCCCAGAGGUACUAUAUUCCCCAUAGCUAUCACUCAGAGGACAACCUCUUUUCUGAAAGAUUGAUAUAAAAAUAAUUUAUGUCAGGCUAAGAGGCAGAGCAAAUCUAUCUGCCUGGAAAAGCACAUAAAUGCCUUUAAGAAAAGAGUAGUAGCUUGUGGAGACAGUGCUUCUUGGUAAUUAGGGGUGUUUAUUAUCCUUGUCAGGCUUUAACAAUCAAUUCUGGAUUUAUAUAAUGAAAAGGAUUUCAACAUUUAAUAUAUAACUAUACCAUCCAGGUCCCUCUAUAAUUUAGCUUCAAAUAAUUUAGGAGUUGUAGAUUAAUAGAAGUUUUUUUUUUUUUUUUAUGGCUUAAAAUGCUGCAGUGGUGAUGAGAAAAUACUGAAAAUGAACAUCUUACUGAGUUAAAGUUAGUAAUGGAAUCCUAGACUUUGAAGAGCCAGCUGAGGUCCUUCACUUCCUUGCUUUUAACAAAAAGACUAAUGUCACUAAACCAAACCAUCAGAAAUUAUAACUUUGUUGUAAAUAUCUUUGACAACAUAUUUUAUAUAUUUUUGCAGUAUAAGUAUAUAGAUGUAUAAAUACCUCAUUCUAAUGUACUUUGUGGCCUGUGGUUUUAAGGAAUAUAUAUCCAAGAGGAAUACCACUAAAGGGAAAGUAUCCAUAUUAGAGAAUUCCAAUGGAAAUAAAGAGAGCUUUUUGUGAAGUAAAUAAAUUCAUUUAUUUUUUUUCCAAGUUGAAAUAACUUCAAAUAGGACACCUGGCGUACUUGGAUAUAAAAUCAUUGCAUCAAGAUGUUUGGGUUAUUCUAUAGUACUAUAUUGUAAGCAAUAGUAUUAACUCUUAUGCACUGAGCCAGAAGGGUGUGUUCACUCAUUAUCUCUUAUUUUUUGUAAGUGUCCAAACUAUAAAUCUGAAAAUGUGAGUACCUACAGCAUAGCUCCUUAUUGAAACACUGUUGAAAGUUUCUCUUUUUCUUAUAUUGAUAAUCGUAUUUUCAUGGAGGUAUAGGCACAGAGGACUGGUUUUGGUUAUAAACUUCACACUAUAUUAUUUCACCUUUUUAAAAGACACCCUAAUGCACUUGUUUCAAUUGUCUAGCUCUUAAUUUAUCACCAGAUUAACAGCAUGUUCUUAACUGGAAUCAUUCAGCCUUGUAUAGCAAAAGAAAUCUGUUUAUAUGUAUAUAUAAACUUAUAUAAUUUUUUUCUGUUUAGUUGGAGGGGAGGGAGCAGCCCUCAUUUGAAAAAAUCCUCAUGGUCUUUGGAAGGAGUGCAAGCUGGGAAUUAAAUAUUGAAUUUCAAAGUCUGCUCUCAACCACUAUAGUCUUCUAGAAUAUUUGCUCAAUUUAACAUUUCUGAGACAUUUAUUUCCUAAGAAUGCAGGGUAUUUUUAGUGAAUCUUGAAAUCCUUUUAAAGUCCAAACUCCAAAACUAUUGAGUGUUUACAUGUAUAUGACUAAAUAUUAUUAAAAUUCAUUAAAAUGGAACCAAAGCUACUUGUACAUGAAUCUAUCUCCAGUUUUUAGAUCCCUUCCGGAUACAAGUAUUUUCUAUGAUAAGCACUUCCAUCAAUAUUCCCUGACAGUUAUAUUUUACACAAAUUGGAAAAACCAGAUAUCUGUCUUAUCUCUAGUAACUAGCACAUUAUUAACCUUUCUUAUUAUUCAAUAAAAAUAUCAGUCUAAAAAUACAGCAGCAGUCCCCCACAUAGCCAUGCUUCUUAAGACAAUAUACUGAGGGGGCACUUGGGUAGCUCAGCAGUUGAGCGUGUCUGCCUUUGGCUCAGGUUGUGAUCCCAGGGUCCUGGGAUCGAGUCCUGCAUCAGGCUGCCUGCAGGAAGCCCUCUUCUCCCUCUGCCUGUGUCUCUGCUUCUCUCCCGGUGUCUCUCAUAAGUAAAUAAAUAAAGUCUUUAAAAAAAAAAAAAAGGCAAUAUACAAAGAAGAGAAUAAUAGACAUCACAAUUGUGUAUACAUAUGCUUAUACAUAAGCAUACUGUAUUAACAAAACCCAAAAAGCAAAAGUGCAUAUUUAAGAAAAGACUAGUUGAUUUGGAAAAAAAUUCUGAUGUUAUAUUAUUAUUAUUAUUAUUAUUAUUAUUAUAUAUU
rnacentral:lncRNA from 1 species